rnacentral:rRNA from 1 species
UACGAAGGAUGCAAGCGUUAUCCGGAUUCAUUGGGUUUAAAGGGAGCGUAGGUGGCCUUAUAAGUCAGUGGUGAAAUCUCUCAGCUUAACUGAGAAAUUGCCAUUGAUACUGUAGGGCUUGAGUAUAGUUGCCGUUGGCGGAAUAUGACAUGUAGUGGUGAAAUACAUAGAGAUGUCAUAGAACACCGAUUGCGAAGGCAGCUGACGAAACUAUAACUGACACUGAGGCUCGAAAGUGCGGGGAUCAAACAGG